rnacentral:rRNA from 1 species
UCCGUAGGUGAACCUGCGGAAGGAUCAUUAACGUAUAACAAAUUUCUUAAAAUUUGUAAAAUACAAUAACUUUUAAAAGUGUUAACGCACGAACAAAUAUAAAUCAACACAAAAUUAAAUGAGCCUUCAAUAUAUAUCAUGGUAACCUAGUAAAGUAAUGUUUCUUUCUUCAGAAAGAGAUGAUUGCUAAGGUUUUUAAAUGAAUAUUCACCAUGAUAAUUGAAGCUCAUGUGUGUUGAUUUUUUUCUCUAUGCCAUAGCAUUAUGAUGAUAUGGCCGAUGCACAUUUGUUACAUCUGUAAUUUAUGUGUAUAUCGUUUUGAUUAUGAAAUAUGUACAGAUCACAUUGACUUAAAAUGAUUGACAAAAAUAACAAAUGAUUAUUCUAAACGGUGGAUCACUUGGCUCGUAAAUCGAUGAAGAACGCAGCUAAUUGCGCGUCAACUUGUGAACUGCAGGACACAUGAACAUCGACAUUUCGAACGCAUAUUGCGGUCUACGGAUCCAAUUCCCAGACCACACUUAGCUGAGGGUCGUAUUUAUCUAUAAAACUGCAUAUUAUUUUUGUAUUAUGCGAAUGUAUUUAAAUGAGUAUUCAUCAUUUAUAUUUAUAUGCAAAUGAUGUUACUUGAAAUUAUAUAAACGAUGAUUAGACAACACAAUUGAAGUUAAUCGUCCGGUCCAUGAGUAAUAAUUGUUUAUUGUAAAUGGGGACGGAUUGAUUUAUAACUUUUAAUUGUAUGUCAUCAUUUUUCUUAUUAGCGACCUCAGAUUAAGUGAGACUACCCGCUGAAUUUAAGCAUAUCAAUAAGCGGAGGA